AGCAGCUUUUCAGUCUGGAAAACAUGCACUACAACAUGAAUUUGCACUCUAUUCACUGUCAUCUCCUACAAACAGAGCACUCCAUGCUCAUGAUGGUGUUUCCGUGAAUGAGCCAAGGAGGAGCUUUAAAAGGUCACCAGCAGGCCGUGCACAUACGCUCUCCUGGACACGCUGCAGUAAAGCGCAACACAUGCGAGAGCGAAAACACCGCAGUGAAUCCAGAAACAGCGAGACUUUUCACAAGACUGAGACUCCCAAACAGACAUGAAAAACACAUACACAAAGAACUCAAACAACAAGUCAAUCUCAUUUAGACACAAACACACACACUACUAAAGAUCAUGAUUGUUUAAAUACACCACACAGUGAAAUGCACGACCUGGGAGCAAAUCUCUAACAUGAAUUACAGAUGACACAGAUUGUACCUGCUUUCGGUGUUGUGUGUGAUUAGAGAGCACAGGUGAAGCACCAGGGUGCAGACAUGGAAUUGUUGAUCUUUUGGAAGUGUACCAUUUAAUAGCAUUUAACUUGUUUUCAUUGAGUGACAAGCCAAAACGGUUUACAUUUUAUCAGACAGUUAUCAUACAUGAUAGGAUGCUGUAAUUGAAAUGCAGAUAAUUAACUGUUCACAGACAUGCAAACUCAAAGCUUCUGUAUAUCACAAAUAAUAGAAUUGGGCUUUUUUCUGCUAAAUAAAUGUUGUGCAUUUGGAGUGAAUGGAGUAAAGAUGCUAUUUAAUUUGUCAGGCUUUGUAAAUCACUUGUGAAAUAAUCAACUGUGUGAGUAAUCAUUUCAGGAGUCACAUCUUUACAGUUCAGACUAUGUUAUAUGUGUGUAAUAACAGAAUGAAAACGGGGAUGUGUUGAAAAGCAGUAUUUUCAAACUGGGGUCCACUGAAAUUUGGAGAGAAAACUAUUUGUAUUUCAAUUCAAAAUGUGUUUGAACAGUAAGAAAUUAAAACCAAAUAUGCAAAUAGUUUGUAUCAUUCUAGAGAGUGUUUCCUCGCCACCAUCGCCUAGCUAGUUACUUGUUGAAUGGCACUAUAAUGGCACUGUAAAUCUGCUUUGCAACAAUAUUAAUAAAGUGCAAUACAGACUAAUUUGAAUGGAAUGAAAAUGUUUCUCCAAUAUUCUGCUAUUAAGUGGAAAAAAGGUAUGCUUUUAAAUAGUUGAACACAACCACACCAACACCAGCAAUUCAAGUGUGGUAUGCUUGAGCAUCUUUUGGGACUAAGUCUGAAACUACUGAUCCAGUAUUCUGAUAAUCAUACUGUCUCUAAUCAUAAUACUGUAAGCUCAUAAUUCUUGAAUGGAAAAACUUGCCAACAUAAGGACAGAUCAUGAAAAUACAGUGCAGAAUCACUUUACAACAGACAAACACUACCAUAUGCUCUGUUUCAUAAGUUUUAUUCAUGCUUAAUGUGGAGAUCUUAGAUAUUGCACUUCAUAACACUUCUUCUUGCACAGAUAUUACAGAGACAAUUAAAUAACAUACUGCUAUUUAAUAUGAUAUUCCAUAUUGUUUUACAACAGAUAAUUACAAUGACAUAAACACUCAAUUAUGAGAUAUAUUUGCACAUCCACAGUACAAAGAGGUGUAAUGAUAUCUUGGGUAAAUUAAAUAGCAGAUCUCCUUAGAUCCAUGAGGGCAAUAAAACAAGUUACGUUGUAGAUAAUAUUAUUAUGUACAGAAACAUUUCUAAGCAAGAGUGUGUUUUGGAGACAACAGUACAAAAAUAAACAAUGACAAAAAGAGACGGCAAAAGCCUAGUGUUGCCUUGCAGCAUUUUUUUUUUUUUUUUAUCUGGUCCCAUAAACAUACAUGCCUCACUGAAUUAUACACCUUAUUCACAGAAGCGCCAUAUUUAAUUUGAGAAGGGAAUAAAAACAAGGCUAUGAGUGAUGAGUUCUCGGGAGUUUUUUUGCCUACUGAACAUUUUCACAUUAGAUCAUCGCCAAUCUAAACAACAAUUCAAACCAUUGCCGAGACUGAAAGUCUAUCCCCCACUGUCUCUUUUACAUUUAUGUCAAAAGUUAAAUAUGGCGCUACUCUUAAUAAGGUCCAUUAAAACAUGAAUAUUUAAAUGAAUUUGAUAAAGUAAUGUUGGAGGAUAGGUUUUGGUUUGGACUGUUUGUAAGAGAUCUUGUAACAGUGCCAAUAAAGUACAUAUCUGCUCAAAAUCAUCAGUCCAAACUGAUAUAAAGAUUAAGUCGAUUAGGUUUUCCUGCUCUGUAUCAACCACACUGCA